UGAGGAAUAUUGGUCAAUGGACGCAAGUCUGAACCAGCCAAGUAGCGUGCAGGAUGACGGCCCUAUGGGUUGUAAACUGCUUUUAUAUGGGGAUAAAGUGGGGAACGUGUUCCCUUUUGCAGGUACCAUAUGAAUAAGGACCGGCUAAUUCCGUGCCAGCAGCCGCGGUAAUACGGAAGGUUCGGGCGUUAUCCGGAUUUAUUGGGUUUAAAGGGAGCGUAGGCCGUUUGUUAAGCGUGUUGUGAAAUGUAAGAGCUCAACUUUUAGAUUGCAGCGCGAACUGGCAGACUUGAGUGCGCACAACGUAGGCGGAAUUCAUGGUGUAGCGGUGAAAUGCUUAGAUAUCAUGACGAACUCCGAUUGCGAAGGCAGCUUACGGGAGCGCAACUGACGCUAAAGCUCGAAGGUGCGGGUAUCGAACAGG
rnacentral:rRNA from 1 species